rnacentral:lncRNA from 1 species
CGCAUUCUAGCCAUGUCAUGCCUAAUCACCUCUCCCCAAUACCUCUUAGGCCUACCUCUGCCUCGCCGAACGCCGACAAUCGCCAGCCGCUCAACGACUCCUCAACGGGGCAUCAGGACUUCUCCUCCGCACAUGCCCGAACCACCUUAGCCUCGCCUCUCGCAUCUUCUCAUUCACUGGGGCCACCCCCACCUUCUCUCGAAUAACUUCAUUCUUAAUCUUAUCU